GCAGAAUGUCUAAAUUCAUAAUGAACUCAAGUGACUUUUAUGAAUGCAGUGGAAAAUGACAGCCAAUCUGGUUUCCAGCUUCUGCAGUUUCUGUUUUGAAGAGCCAGCACUUACGGCAGAAACUUCUUCAGUCUCUGUUUCUUGAUAAAGUGUAUUGGGAAAGUCAAGGAGGUAGACAAGGAAUUGAAAAGCUUAUCGAUGUAAUAGAACACAGAGCCAAAAUUCUUAUCACCUAUAUCAAUGCACACGGGGUCAAAGUAUUACCUAUGAAUGAAUGACAAAAGAAUCUUCUGGCUAGGGUGUUAGAUAUAUUUAUGCAUUUUUGGUUUUGUUUUUAAAUCAAGCACAUCAACCUCAAGCCCGUUUAGCAAUGAGGCAGUGUAGAUGAAUACGUAAAAUAAAUGACUUUAACCAAGUAGCUAUAAUGGGACUUAGCACUGUAUGCAUACUUAAAAAGGUUUUGAAAAACAAACUACUUGAGAAAUAUUUGUUUAUAUUUUUCUCUAACAUCAUGCUAUGUGUCAGUCUGAACAUCUGACAACAGAAAUUUCAGUUAUUAUUCUAGCUAAGUUUUGAAAACAUUUGUCAUGCUGUUUAAUAGAAAACUGCAAACCAGAGACACUGACUCCAUUAAUAAACCAUAUUUUGUGCCGUUUUGACUGUUCUGACCAAAUACUAAUGGGAACAAUUCUUGACGUUUUUCUGUUGCUGAUUGUUAACAUAGAGCAGUCUCUACACUACCCUGAGGCAACUCUACAUUGGAACACUGAGGCUUACAGCCUGCAAGAGCAUCAGAGCUGACCAUACAUUUAAACAGAAAUGCUGGUUUAUUUGCAAAAUCACCAGUAUAUUUUCUAUUGUGUCUAUAAAAAAUCAGUCAUUUAAGUACAAGAAUCAUAUUUUCCAUUCCUUUUUAGAAAUUUAUUUUGUUGUCCCUAUGGAAAUCAUUCACAUCUGACAAUUUAUAUGUUAAAGAGUUUUACUCUCUCUAUUUUGGUCCAAUUUGUAUCUAGUGGCUGAGAAAUUAAAUAAUUCUAAAGUAUGAAGUUACCUAUCUGAAAAUGUACUUACAGAGUAUCAUUUUAAAAUGGAUGUCUCUUUAAAAAUUUUGUUACUUUUACCAACAAUGUAAUAUAAUUUAUGUAUAUUUUAUUAAUAAUAGUGAAUUCCUUAAAAUUUGUUCUAUGUACUUAUAUUUAAUUUGAUUUAAUGGUUACUGCCCAGAUAUUGAGAAUUGGUUCAAAUAUUGAGUGUGUUUCAAUAUAUUAUCUGGCUUAUUUCAACAUGAGUAAUAUGAGCAAAAUAAGUUAAAACCUGCGUCUGAUCAAUUUUCCUCAUGACUAGAACUAAAACAGUAAAUUUGGACAAUAUUAAGCCUCAAAUAAUCAUCUCCAAACUCCUUCUAACACUUUUUAAAUCAGAUUGGAAGACAUGGACAAAUCAGGUUCAUGUGUUGCAUCUUUAUGUCCUUUGCCAAUAUCCAAGAUCAUCACAUAUGGUAGAUAUUCACAUGGAGUUUCAAAUUCAGAAUAGAUUACCAUUACCUUCCUGCCCUUACACAUCCUACUCCUUAUUUAAAAGUUCUAUUUGUGACUUUUCAUUUCCUGAAAGUUUAAAAAUACAAUUUGAGAAUGUUUAUAAUACAUUCUCUCCUGUCUUUUCACGGUUACGUCUGUUAUUGCUGAAAUACACCACAUUUUCUUUGUUCUGGUCAAGGUUAACUCAAUAUCUGUGUGAAAGAGAACUACUAACAACGUUACAAUAGAGGCUAGAUUUGAAAAAAAAAAUCUAUAGAUCUAAUUGAUACAAUUGUAGAACAAAAUGUCAAAAUAAUGUUUUAAGUAUAAGAGAAGAUGGACCAAGGAGAGAGAGAUCAUUUGAAAAUCUAAUUGUAGCUUUUCUAGGCUCACAUUCAUGUACUACUUUUAGCACCCUUAUGGGCUGUGCUCGCCCCCUGGACAGUUGAGCUUUGGAUUAUCUUCCUCUUCAAUUUUCCCUCUAUUGACCCGAGUGUCUCCCUCUGCUUCUACAGAUUUAUAGUACUCCUUGGCUCUUUUGAGUCUCCACUUUUACUCACUGUCUCUGGGAUUUUUAAGAUCCUUUUCUUCUCUUAUAAAUCAUCCUCUUAAUGAAAAUUAGCCUAACAAAAGUUUGGAGACUGGAAUCCUACUUUGAGCCACUGACUUGAAAUAACUCUUUUGGCAAGUUGCCUGACAUCCUGUCUUACCAAGGUGGCAUAUUUGCAUUUUUACUGCUUAAAACAUUUUUUUUUUUUUACCAUCUUUAUCCAAAUUUAUCAUAUUGAUGGUAGGACUAACAGGCUUUUUAGAAGCUGGCUUUAACUUUGAGUCUCAAGCUACAAUGCUGUUGGGCAGCCUGGUCUUCCCACGUGAGGGUUUAACUUUGUUUAUUUGCCUCCAGUUAUUCCAAAAUGCUUAUUAAAUGAAAGUCCCAGGAACAUGUUUAUUUUAGUCACCUUUGCUUUUUAACAAUUUUGUUUUGUAAUCAAUGAGUAAUUCAUGAUGAAUUAUUUUUGACUAAUGGAUAGCCGAAGGCCAGGCUUUUAAUUCUAAUAGGUAAUGUUCUUCUUUUGUCUUAUUGAAACAAUGAGAAUACUCUGUGCAUUUCAAAUGCACUCCGAUUAUGCUGUGGUUUUAUUCACAUAAGCACAAUAUGUGUUUUAUUUAUAACUUCAUAACAAACUUAUAAUAUAAUAAUUUACCUUAGCAGACAUGCAAAAGCUUAUUCUUGUGUGACUUACUUUCUUUAAGCUAAUAAUAUAAAAAUAAAUAUGUAUCUUAAAAAUCUAUAAUAAAACAUUAGAAAUUAAAGAUAUGUGCUUUUUAUUUUGCAGAUGAGUUCAUUUGCUUUUGUAGAUGUGUUUUCAGAGCUAGGUACAGAGGAAUGUUUGCUACCUUUAGCGGUGAAAAAAGAAAGAGAGUCAAGAAUUUUGUUGGAUUGUGUUUGUGUGUGCAUAUAUUUGAUAUCAUCAUUAUAUUUGUAAUCUUUGGACUUGUAAUCAUAGCCUGUUUAUUCUACUGUGCCAUUAAAUAUACUUUACCUUAUACAUAACGAAUAAAA
rnacentral:lncRNA from 1 species